GACCAUAUACUGAGGAGAAAAACGGAGAACGGCUAGCGGCUGCUGGUGCGUGCUGCUAUGCGUGAAGACCGACGGAGAGGAGGCACGGCUACGAGAAAGGGAGAUGAUGAUGAUAGAAUGCGGCUGUCCGGUAGAAAAUUAGGGGAUUAGGGUAA